rnacentral:rRNA from 1 species
UGGGGAAUUUUGGACAAUGGGGGCAACCCUGAUCCAGCCAUCCCGCGUGUGCGAUGAAGGCCUUCGGGUUGUAAGGCACUUUUGGCAGGGAAGAAACAGCCUGGGCUAAUAUCCCGGGCGACUGACGGUACCUGCAGAAUAAGCACCGGCUAACUACGUGCCAGCAGCCGCGGUAAUACGUAGGGUGCAAGCGUUAAUCGGAAUUACUGGGCGUAAAGCGUGCGCAGGCGGUUCGGAAAGAAAGGUGUGAAAUCCCAGGGCUUAACCUUGGAACUGCACUUUUAACUACCGGGCUAGAGUACGUCAGAGGGGGGUAGAAUUCCACGUGUAGCAGUGAAAUGCGUAGAGAUGUGGAGGAAUACCGAUGGCGAAGGCAGCCCCCUGGGAUGAUACUGACGCUCAUGCACGAAAGCGUGGGGAGCAAACA